GAGGAAGAGGAAGAGGAAGAGGAAGAGGAAGAGAAAGAGAAAGAGGGACUAGCAAAGUUAUUCAAGUGAUGCUCUCUCUUUGGAUGGUCAUCCGAAAUAUCAUGGCUCUCAUGCCUUUGUGCACAUGUGCUCUUUCUUGCCUGGUGAGUUUGGACACUUUAUGACUUACUGUGAGGUGUGAGCAGAGAACAGCCUGGCUCAUAAAGAUUCCUGUGUCCAGGUUUUUCUGGGCCUGGGAUUUCCUCUGCCACAAUUGUUUUCCCUGUCAGAAAGUGUUUCUCCUCCUUUGUGUUCUGUAACUCCCAUGGUUUCCUUCCCCUUCCCCUUCCACAGCUAAAUCUCAGUGCUCCUCCUCCUUUGGUUCUUUCCCCUCCAGCUAUGAUUUUACCAACUAGAAUGUCCUUAUAGAAACGUGUUUAACCAUGGCACACACCCCUUCAAACCCCUGUAAUUAAAAAGGGGGGACGUAGUUUAGAGACAGCUCUGGCUCUGCCGGCAGUUAGCUCUCAACCCAAAAAUGUGGGUAGGAACGGUAGCAGCAGUGCAGCACCUCCAGGAGCCUCGCUAAAUAAAGAGCAAUUCAAAAGGCACGGAGUGUUUAUAAUGUUGGCUGCAAGGUGACUCACACAUUUUAAAAUAUUCAAAGUACUCAUUUCAAUAAACUACGGUUCAUUUAAUGCCGAGAAGUAAUUCUUCAGCGAGCUCAUAUUUUGGGGAAUUCAAAAUUAUAUGCUGGCCCAUAAGCCGGGUAUUCAUCCUGGAUAUUCAAUAAACACUGUUGUGAUUGAGUUGCCUGCAAACACACAUAUAUAUCAUAUAUGCGUCACUUCAUGGCUAACAAUGUGCAUGCAAUGUGACAAUUUGUAAAGCAAAAUUGUUUAAGUAUCUUUUUUUUUAAAAUAUUAUUUUGUAGGGCUGGAGAGAUGGCUCAGUGGUUGAGAGCACCGGCUGUUCUUCCAGAGGACUGGGGUUCAAUUCCCAGCAUCUACGUGGUAGCUCACACCUGUAUGUAAUUCCAGUUCCAGGGCUUCUGACAUGCUCACACAGACAUACAUACAGGCAGAACACCAAUGAAUAUAAAAUAGGAAUAAAUUAUAUAUAUAAAAAUUAUUUUGCUUGGGUAUGUAUGCGUGAUGUGCUUGUGUUUGCAUGUGUGCACACGUGUGUGGGAGCAGGUGCAUGUGUGCAUGGGUAGAAGCUACAGGCUGACAGUGGACGUUUUUCUUCUUUGCCCUCUGUUUUGUAGGGUCCUCACUUGGACCUACACCUUGCUAAUUCAGCGAGUCCUGCUAGUCAGUGUGUUCUGGGACCCAUCUCUGACACUGCGAUCACACCAUGCGAUCACACCAUGCCUGCCUUCCCAAGAUUUCUACGGGCACCGGGGGUCUGAAACCUGGUCUGUAUGCUCACACAGCUCACAUUUUACCCACUGAGCUGUCUCCCCAUUCCAGCAAAGUUCUUUGGAAUUCAAAUGUUCAUUUAUGCCAGGAAUGCUUUUUGACAUAGAGGUGGUUUUCUGUUUCAACAGAAUGCACUGUUAACAGAAUCAGAAAUGCACUCCAGCAUUAAAACAAAACAAAAUGAAACAAAACACAUCUGAUUUACCUAAGUCCUUUUACAAGUGAUAAUUCCACCUAAAAUUACUUUAACAACCUCCAUGUCUUUUCGUAUAGACUCUAUGUACAUAGUCCCAAGUAGUGUGAAAAUGCAAUCUUUAUCCAGGUUUGAGAUCCGCCUGUUUAGAAACAUGUGGAUGAAUGAUAUUGUCAUGUAUCGUUUGGAGGUUGGUGCUGUGUGUAGUUUUCUUUUUCUUACAGGUAAUCAAAUUCAGGCUUCACCUAUGCUCAGCACACUCCCAGCUCCCUUCCCAGAAUGCAUUUUCCUUGUCAAAGUAAAUGUUUAGUCUCUGGCACAUUUUUGCAUCACAGUUCCCAGAUUCUUCUCCAUUCUAAGCUUCUGGUGUAGAAUUGCUAAUAACAAAUUACUGAAAAGAGCUACACCAUCCUAACCAGUCAGCAGGACUAGACUGUCCCAACGCGCCCGGUGCCUUGUCUCCACAGAAAAAGGAUAUCAAAAUUAUUAAGAAUAUUCGAAAGCUUUGAGGAAAUUGUGGAGUGAUAAACAGCAACACAAAAGUCUACUUAUUCUGUGAGGUUAAGAUUCCAAGACAUGGAGGGGGUGCCUGAAACUUGGGAUAUUACCAACCCCUAGAGAUGCUGUCACUCCCCAUCCCCACUUCUGUACCUACAUACCUAUAUCAAAACUUAGUAUGAAUUAGAGUAGAACAAUUAUUACACAUGACAAACGUUAUUUAAAAACAUACAAAAUGCUUAUUUCUGGUAUUUUCCAUCUAAUAUCCACCCCUCAACCCCUCCCCCCCAUACUCCUCCUCACCCCAGGUCCCUCGCAAGGAUCCUCAGAUACCUAAAACUGCCUCUACUCAGAUAAAGGUGGACUACUGCAUCAGAGGGCUGAGCAUCUACAGAGUCAGAGACUGUUCUAGGACAUCCUGAAGGUUACAAACCUUUAAGUUUAGGACUGCUAAAACCAGUGGUGAAAGAGGGAUGCGCCUUGGAGAACCUCUCUCAACAGUUUUUAACCGCCCAGGAACAACGCUCUGAGGGAAAAAUCAGAGGGCACGACCCCAGGCUCAUCUCGUGUCAGGACAAAUCAAGAGGAGGGAGUGUCGGAUGUAGUGGGGGAGGGCUCCUAUAAAUUUUUGGGGACAGAUUGUAGAAGUCAGAAGUCACACAAGGAUGUAAGCUUUCUCCCAACAUCCUCUCCAGCGUUUUCAGGUUGGGUUUAACUCCAAAUAGAAUUGCAGACACCUGGAGCAAGUACCGCGGAGUAACUUGAGGCACCAUUGUUCUGGGACUGGAGUCUAGCAUAAUCAUCAUCCGAGAGAUCAGAAAGACUUCGUACAGCGACUGAUGGGAGCAGACGCAGAGUCCCACAGCCAAGCACUGGAGUCCUUCGAGGAGGAGGGACUUGCCAUAUUGAAAGAUAUACAAGCUGAGGUGAGAAAAGGAUCCGUGGGAGAAAAAGCCAGAUACGCUGCUUUUGGAAAGACUCACAAAAAAACCCAGUUUUGUAUGAACAAGUAUUAAUACAUUUUUAAAAACGAAA